UACGAAGGGGGCUAGCGUUGCUCGGAAUUACUGGGCGUAAAGGGCGCGUAGGCGGACAGUUUAGUCAGAGGUGAAAGCCCAGGGCUCAACCUUGGAAUUGCCUUUGAUACUGGCUGUCUUGAGUUCGGGAGAGGUGAGUGGAAUGCCGAGUGUAGAGGUGAAAUUCGUAGAUAUUCGGCGGAACACCAGUGGCGAAGGCGGCUCACUGGUCCGGUACUGACGCUGAGGUGCGAAAGCGUGGGGAG
rnacentral:rRNA from 1 species